CCUAAACCGUUGGAAACAAAAGUGAGUACACUUCUUAGUGGAAAUGUCCACUUAGGAAAUGGUGACCACACAAAAUAUUGACACUUUAGACCCAAUUUGGACUUUUCCACUUAGAGGUGUGCUCACUUUUGUUGCCAAUGGUUUAGAUA